rnacentral:lncRNA from 1 species
GAGAGGUAUGAGCAUGGUUGGUGAAGAGGAUGAGAGGCAGAAAAGGCUUUCACCCAAAUCUCACCAACUCUAUCCAUUAUCAACUUCUUUAAUAAUAUUUACUUAUUUCAUUGUCAAUCAAUUUAUGUGUUUGGUGGUAAGCUUUUCACAAUCUCUAUAAGGAAGAGAAUGAUGCGUACUAGGCUUUCCAUUCCAUAAAGUCAAUAAGAUUUUCUUCAUAUGCAUUUAGUAUACAAAGGAUAUUUACUUAAUGCAAGUUGAAGAUUUGUUUGAAACUUGACAUGAGAUUCUUUAAACAUUUUAAAACAAUGGAAAUAAACCAAGUUU